UGGUCAAUCGGCGUCAUAAUGGCCGGUCAAUCGGCGUCAUAAUGGCCGGUCAAUCGACGUCAUAAUAGAAGGUCAAUCGGUGUCAUAAUGGAAGGUCAAUCGGCGUCAUAAUGGAAGGUCAAUCGGUGUCAUAAUGGAAGGUCAAUCGGCGUCAUAAUGGAAGGUCAAUCGGUGUCAUAAUGGAAGGUCAAUCGGUGUCAUAAUGGAAGGUCAAUCGGUGUCAUAAUGGAAGGUCAAUCGGCGUCAUAAUGGAAGGUCAAUCGGUGUCAUAAUGGAAGGUCAAUCGGCGUCAUAAUGGAAGGUCAAUCGGUGUCAUAAUGGAAGGUCAAUCGGCGUCAUAAUGGAAGGUCAAUCGGCGUCAUAAUGGAAGGUCAAUCGGUGUCAUAAUGGAAGGUCAAUCGGUGUCAUAAUGGCCGGUCAAUCGGCGUCAUAAUGGCCGGUCAAUCGACGUCAUAAUAGAAGGUCAAUCGGUGUCAUAAUGGAAGGUCAAUCGGCGUCAUAAUGGAAGGUCAAUCGGUGUCAUAAUGGAAGGUCAAUCGGCGUCAUAAUGGAAGGUCAAUCGGUGUCAUAAUGGAAGGUCAA
rnacentral:lncRNA from 1 species